rnacentral:misc_RNA from 1 species
AACCUAGCACACCUGCGGUGUGUACCUGCGGAAGGAUCAUUACAGAGUUGCAAGACUCCCUAAACCAUUGUGAACCUACCUUCUACCGUUGCUUCGGCGGGCGGGCCCAGCGCCCCCCCGGCCCCCCGCGGGCGCCCGCCGGAGGAUACCCAAACUCUUGACAUUAGUGGCCUCUCUGAGUAUUCUUUACUGAAUAAGUCAAAACUUUCAGCAAUGGAUCU